rnacentral:rRNA from 1 species
GUGGGGAAUAUUGGACAAUGGGCGAAAGCCUGAUCCAGCCAUGCCGCGUGUGUGAAGAAGGUCUUCGGAUUGUAAAGCACUUUAAGUUGGGAGGAAGGGUAGUAACCUAAUACGUUGCUACUUUGACGUUACCGACAGAAUAAGCACCGGCUAACUUCGUGCCAGCAGCCGCGGUAAUACGAAGGGGGCAAGCGUUAAUCGGAAUUACUGGGCGUAAAGCGCGCGUAGGUGGUUCAGUAAGUUGGAAGUGAAAUCCCCGGGCUCAACCUGGGAACUGCUUUCAAAACUGCUGAGCUAGAGUACGGUAGAGGGUGGUGGAAUUUCCUGUGUAGCGGUGAAAUGCGUAGAUAUAGGAAGGAACACCAGUGGCGAAGGCGACCACCUGGACUGAUACUGACACUGAGGUGCGAAAGCGUGGGGAGCAAACAGGAUUAGAUACCCCGGUAGUCC